AACCACGUGAGCUUCUGUACAAGUGCAGGUGCGCACAUAAACACGCGAACACUCGCGCACACGUGUGUCUCGUACGUACCGGUGACUCAGCGCCACCGGCACCAACGCGGCCGUCCCAGUCUGCCUUGUAACACAACAAAGGCAUCUCCUUGUCGAAGUCGAGUUCUUUGGCGCGUGCUUGACGACAGCACCCUGAAAGGGGGAGCGUGAGUAAGUGGCAGCGAAGCAGUCGUGCAACACGAAAAAAAAGGUGCGAGAGAAGGACACAGCAAGUGCGGCGCCAGACUUAUCUGCGAAGUGCGUUAUUCAAUUUGUUUUCUCUCCGAGCCAUGCGGGGUCGCACGCUGACGCUGUUGGUCCGCGAUGCGCUGAACGCGGGCAGCUCCAUGACUUUGGGCAGCAAGGGCAUGCGCCCCUCUCCAGAGGCACAUCGGCGACGAAUGCCGUGGACAGCAGCUAAGGAGUACGUGCCCGGCGUCGUGUUGAACAGCAAGGAAAAGCUCGUAUUGGAUGGGACGCAGCUGGUGGAGCUCGACCACAUCGAUCGCGCCUCGCAGGUGGACCCGCUUGAGGUGCUGAAGGCCGCCGUGGCAACACGCGCCUACAACACUUCUACCGGCCUCAACAUCUUCCAGCUCGCCUCGCAGACGCGCUUCCACGGCCGUGGACAGAAAUUCUUUCGCGAGGAGUGGCGGCAGGGCACUUACGAGAAGUACGUUACUUUAGCCGCCAUCGACUUUGAUCGAGAGGGCAGCAAAGGCACGGCGUACGGCUACAUCACAUUCCAUGGCGAGUCCACCACCCGACCUGUUGAGAUCCACUACGCCGACACACCGGGUUGGCAGAUGGACUACGACGAAGCCGCCGCUGUCCCCUUCGACGCUGCCGUGCCACCGCCGCCGAGCAUCGGCACGGAAGUCCCGGUAGAUCCCUCCACGUACAGGCUAAAGGCAUACCCCUUUUACGAUGCACCAAACCCGCCGGAGUUUGUAGAGCGGCUUCUCAAGGAUCGCGGCGUGUUGCCAGACCUGCCAAUGGACGCCUCGGCACCCGCAGAAAACGCUGCAGCCGCCUCAGCAGACGGCGCACGCGCGGACGGUUCGCAUCACUACGAGCCGAGGGGCAGCGUUUAAGGCGCGCACAGGGGAAGAACGCUGUGCCGCCAUUCGGCCUUUCCCACCCCUCCUCUGACCUCUGCCCAGCUCAGCACUUCGUCCUCGUACUUCCGUGUUAUGGCAUGCCAUCAUCAGCGGCAGCGGCUGUGGGCUCCAUUGCUGUUGGUUGCCUCACAAGGGUGUUGGUUUCCCUGGUCCACGAGAGGAGGGGCAGUCGCCCGGCGCACAUCGCCCCCCCCCCACCACCCACCACCCGCAGAUACGAACAGAAGAUUGCAGCGUCCUUUGCGUUCUCUCGAUCACGCUGGAAGGACCACCUUGUCAUCAUAGUGUCUUUGCCCUCAUGUGCGGUGCUUCUUUUUUGACUUGUGUGUUGUUCCGUUAAAUGGCGAGGGCUUCGGUGGGCGGUGCUGCACGCCUGACAUGAGUCUGACGAACAGACAUUUCCGGUUUGGGAAAGAAAGGGAAAGGAGUUAGUCGUCAUCUGGGUCGUUGUGCGUACGUGCCGCAUGUGAAGGCGAAAGAGUGCGUUAGUCUGUCUGUAACGGAUGUGGUCGUGGAGGUGGAAAUGGAGGGCGAUGAGUGACACGCUGUGGUGUAAGUAGGUCCCCUUCCAUGCAUGCUCCAACGUUUGUGUGUGUGUGUGUGUGUCUGGGUAGUGCGUCGCACUCGCGGCAACUCACUUGCGCCCACGCGCACACGUAGGCAGGUCCGCUGCAUGCUACGCUACCUCAUUCAC
rnacentral:misc_RNA from 1 species